rnacentral:rRNA from 1 species
CUCGAUCUCAAAUCAAGUAAGACUACCCGCUGAACUUAAGCAUAUCAAUAAG